rnacentral:rRNA from 1 species
CCCUACGGGGCGCAGCAGUGAGGAAUAUUGGUCAAUGGGCGCGAGCCUGAACCAGCCAAGUCGCGUGAGGGAAGACGGUCCUAUGGAUUGUGAACCUCUUUUGUUGGGGAGCAAAAGACGCCACGUGUGGCGUUCCGAGAGUACCCGAAGAAAAAGCAUCGGCUAACUCCGUGCCAGCAGCCGCGGUAAUACGGAGGAUGCGAGCGUUAUCCGGAUUUAUUGGGUUUAAAGGGUGCGCAGGCGGAAGAUCAAGUCAGCGGUAAAAUUGAGAGGCUCAACCUCUUCGAGCCGUUGAAACUGGUUUU